GACCUCCUGGGCUCAAGCGAUCCUCCCACCUCGGCCUCCCAAGUAACUGGGACUACAGGUGCCCACCUCCACGCCCAGUUAAUUUUAAUUUUUUUUUCUUUUUUUUUGUAGAGACACAGUUUCACUAUGUUGCCUGGGCUGGUCUUGAACUCCUGUGCUCAAGCAAUCCUCUCGCCUCAGCCUCCCACAGUGCUGGGAUUACAGGCACAAGCCACUGCAUCCAGCCCGUGCGUGUUUUUGAGUGCACCAAUUCCAGCUCUAAGAUUGACGAGAUCCUACUGGCCUGGACCUGACUGUAAGCCAAAACCUGAUACUGCUGUCUGCUCUGUGCUGUUUCAGUCUCAGCAUGUGCUGUGCUAAAUUAAAAACGGGCGCACACUCCAGGAACAGCACUUCGACUAUGAGACCAUUGCAGACUUAGGGCACCCUCCGUGGGACCUAAACUGAAAACAUCAUGGAUGCUGACUGGACCAUCUGGAUCACAUAAAAAUGCCCACAGGAAAGGGCUUCUUUUUGUUUUUUGAGACGGAGUCUCACUGUCUCCCCCAGGCUGGAGUGCAGUGGCGUGAUCUCAGCUCACUGCAAGCUCU
rnacentral:lncRNA from 1 species